GCUCGGGCGGCGCCUGCGCAGACUGAGGGAGAGGGAGCGAGGGCGUGGGCGCAGGCGCAGUAAGGCCAGGCUCUGCACGGGGCGGGUGUGGUUGCGAUACUAGAGAGAAGGCUGUGGGUUAGCGAAGUGCAAGGAGGAGGGGGCAGGGUGGACGGGUUCUUUCUGCCCCGACGGAGCCCAGCCAGGGGCUUGGGGCGGAUUAGGAGCCCAGGCAGCCUGGCACCUAGCUUUUGGGAGAAGAGAUUUCUUUCAAAAAGACGGCUCAAACCCUGCCUUGUGCUAGAGACCCUUCCUGGGUCUCCGGGCAGCCAGUCUCUUCCCCUCUGGAAUUCCUGGAUCCCAAGAGCUCGCUGCCCCAUUGGCAUGUAAGCUCCUCGAGGGCAGGCAUGGCCUUUGCCUUAAGCAUGCCCCAUUGGCAUGUAAGCUCCUCGAGGGCAGGCAUGGCCUUUGCCUUAAGCAUUUCCCUGGUGUCUGGAGCGUAGUCCGGAAGAACUUAAUAAAUACCUAACAAAUAAAGAUGGGCUUUGGGGAAGGCAAAUGCUAAGUGGGAGUCGGCUCCCCCUGAGGGAGAGAUGAGGACACGGCCAAGACCAUCGGGAAAGAGCGCCCGGAGGGAAAAGGUUUUGUCCAAAGGAGCAAUGUGGAUGCGCGGGGAUCUUCAACCGAGGCUGUAAAAUCCUCUUUGGGGAAUUGCUAAGGCUCAGAAUGGCUGAGGCUGGAAGGGAAACGCGGACCAGGAGAAAAGUAGUUAGUGCUGCUGCUGCUGCUGCCCUGGUUGCAACCAAAACGGGAGGAAAAGCAUCAAAGGAGAAUUGAGAGCUUUGCUGGGGAUGGGUGGUAGGACAUCCAGCUAGAGAGAAAGGGCAAAGCUCUGUGUUUUCCUGGCAAAGAAUGACCUUUAGGCUAGGGACAAUAGAGCAAAAAGGACUCCCCGAGUUGAUAUCCCCAUAAGAAGGCUGUAAGGGAAUGCCUAGCUUUCCUGGAUGACGUCAAGUCCUUGGCCCAAAGAACUUCAGCUUUCCCUCAUGAGAACUGGCAGCUGUGAAGGUUAAGCCAUCGCCAGGGAUGUUGGAAAGAUCACGGUCAAUGGGAGAAGUCCCCCAAGAUAGGAGAAGAGCAAAUGUGUUAAUUUUCUGAAAAAGGAAGAAAACAGUCUGCAGAUUAUAGGCCAGUGAGCUUAGCUUCUAUUCUCAGGCAAACUCUUUAACAAAUUGUUAAAAGAGACAAAUUGAGGAUCUGCUGGAUUUUCCAAGCAGAUCAUGCCAAGCUAACCUCAUUUCCUUUUUUGACAGGAUUACUAAACUAGGGGAGAGAGUUUACUUAGACUUUAAAACCCUCAGCUUCUGCCUUCAUAUCAGUUGGAAGACAAGAGCUUUGGCAUGCAGGUUAAGUGACUUGCCCAGAGUCACACCCAUCUAGGAAGUAUUUGAGGCCAAAUCUGAGCCCAGGCCCUCCUGACUCCGGUAGCACAGUGGCUCACUAUCCACUGUGCCACCUAGCUGCCCCUAGCUUACCGAGAUUUUAACAAAGCUGAUAAAGUAUCUCACACUUUUCUUGUGGGUGAGAACGUAAUGCAAUCAGAUUCUUCUAACCAAGUCAGAUUGGUCUGACUUCAAGGGAAAGUCGUUAACAUCACUGGCAGGAGAUUUCCAAGAGUAUCUGCCCCUAUGUUGUUUAACAGUUUUGAUCAGGGGCUUUUGUGGAAGGCAAAAAGCUAGAAGGGAUGGCUAAAACAAUGCAGGUCAAGCCCGCCCAAGGACUGAGCCUUGGUAUAAAGAAACCCAAACUGUUCUCCCUCCUAGGAUGCUCAGCACCAAGUAUAUGGCAAUAUAGCGUCAGGAAACACAAAACAUGUCACUAGGGUUCCGCCAAACCCAAGCGGGCUUGGGCUAGCAGUGAAAGGGCCACCGGACUGGUCCUUCUUGCCAUCAGGGGCUCACUAGGAGUCUGGGAGGCAGAGAGGGGCAGAUUUGGGCUCACGGUAGGUAAGCACUUCUAACACCAAACUGCCCCAAAGUGGAAUGUGUAAUAAGGCAAGUGGAGACAGGAUGACCCCUCGGAGAGGAGGUUGUAGGGGGCUUUUCAUUCAGGUCCAGCUUGGACUGCAUCACUCUUAAGGCUCUGGCAGCCCUUGCCAUCAUCAUCUUCUCUCUGCUCCCCCAAAAGUAUCAAAGGCAGAUGGAGUUUAUUUUUGCUUCCAACCCCCUCAGCUCCUUUGUCUGUUUGGAAACAGGAGGUAAAGCUCAUUGCAUCAUCGAUUUAGACCUUGAAGGCUAUAGAUUCCAGCCCUCCCCUGUUUUUUUAAUUGAUGAAGAAACUGAGGCAAGAGUUAAAGUGACUUGUCUAGGGCCCCAUUCCUAGAUGGGAUUUGAACCCAGGUCUUCGUGAUUCUAAGUCCGACAUACUAUCUCCUACACCACACUGCCUCUGAUACUCAGCCCAUGUAGAAAAAGUGACUUGUUCAGGGUCACACAGUUACAAAGUGUCUGUGUCCAGGGCCAUUGACUGCAGAGCUAGUAAUUUUCCUGUUGCACUCUGUCCCCUGUUCAGUUUGAGAUCACAAUUUUUAUUCCACAAAUUUGAGGAUUUUAAAAAGCUAAAAAAAUAAAAUUUUAAACCCUUACCUUCUGACUUGGAAUCAAUCCUGUGUAUUGGUUCCAAGGCAGAAGAGUGAUAAGGGCUAGGCAAUGGGGGAGAAGUGACUUGCCCAGGGUCACACAGCAAAAGUUUUUUUUUUUUUUUAACUACUCAGAAAAUGAAAAAACAAAAACAACAAAACAAAGAAACCAGAAAAGCCAAUGGUCUUUCUUUGCCUUGCUGAGCUAAGUCCCAACAGCAUUCCAGGGUGACUCCAUCCUUCAUUUUCAUGAAGUUCCUCUAAAAUGUGGCCCCUGUUUUUCACAAGAAGAAAGAGAUGUACAAAAAGGAAAAGACUUUUUAUCCAAGGUAGAGGCUGGGUACGACAGAUCCAAAGACACAUUUUUUAUUAAACCUUUCUCUUCUGACUUAGAAUUAAAACUGUGUAUUGGUUCCAAGGCAGAAGAAUGGCAAGGGCCAGGCGAUGGAGGUGGAGUGACUUGCCCAGGGUCACAUAGCUGAGAAGUGUCUCAGGUCAGAUUUGAACCCAGGACCUACCAGUUUGGGUCCUGGCACCCAAUCCAAUCUGCAUUCUUAACAAUGAAAGGAUCUUCUUUUCUGAUCCCCAAAGUGUUUUCGCCACAACUUCCUGGCACUAAAAGUUGUCUGAGCAUGCACGGCUAACACAUGGAUGUUUACUGAUGUGGAAAUUAGAAACGUCAAAGACUGAAUAAAAUUGACAUUGAUGGGGUGGCGAGAGCAGGGUCUUUCCCAAAGAACUGACAAGCUGGGGAAGCUCCGGGUGGGGCAAACUUCAUUGCUUUAAGGGGAGCUGGCAGGGGCACGGCCCUGGCACUGGGGGCACCCCAGGGGAUUUUGAGGGAGCGUUUGAGUUUGUUUGCUUGUCAGGGAAGGAGUAGACCAAAGGGCAGAUGCUGUAGCGAAUGGGCAGGUGCCACUUUUACCCAUGAUGCACCUUGUUCUCCCGGCCACGCAGUGUAAAAUGGGAUGCCAACGACACGUUAAACAACGCAGGGUAGCUCUAGGUCACUGCUGGUUAGUUCUGUGCGGGCCCACGAAGGAGAAAGUCCCGUGACCACAGAGUCUGUGCUGAUUGGCCGGAGUUGCCCGUUCUCAUAGCAACCCGUUCCUAUGGCAACUCCCAUCAAAAGGAGGCUGGAUCUCUGAAUCCGCAGGGAGCCAGCGGAAUUAUGGAGGAGGGAAGCCGAUGGGCCGCCCUUGGAAGAAACCCUUUUGGCCUGUGCGGAAGGCUGAUUGCGGAGACAUCAGCAGCCACACGUUCCCUUUCUGUUUCCAUUAGAGCAGAAAGCCCAACGCCUCAGUCUGGCUUUCCCUUUACUGGAGCUGUUCAGCUAAACUUGGUGCUAACGCCACCUGGAGGCUGCAUUUGAGAAAGGUGAAGAUGGUAAUCUAGAGUGAGGAGAUGAAGAUCAACACAAUGGCAGGACUGUAAUGGACAAGGACAACCAUAAAAAUGACAACAGAAUAAAGACGACUACUACACAACAAUAAUGUCAACACAAUUGGACAACAGUAUUGCUAUGAACACUAUUUCAAGGACACAAAGAACAAAGAUCACUACAACUAAGAAGACUGAAGAUUGAAGACUGGAUUUCUAAAGACACUAAACUGUGUAUUUGAAUGGAAAAGGUUUGAAUCUUGUUACAAUUAGAGAUUUGUAUGUGAAGAUAUAUGGUCAAGAACAUGGAUAUCGGUUCCAUUUUCCAAGAUGGCGUCUUCAGAUCUCGAAAUUUCUAGCUUGCCGUUCUUCUGUCUCUCUUCCAGCUGUCCUUUUAGUUUUUUAAUCUGAAAAACCCAAAUCCAUCCAUUAAUUUCCUUGAAUCCAGUCUGGAUCAAUACACUUGGAAUUCUAUCAAAAAGAUAAGAGAAAUUUAGCAUACGCCAUCCAAAGCCAAAUUGGACAAUCUCCCCAUGAUACUACUUUAUAGUUUUGCUGCCUGCUUUUAUGGUGCUCGGUUCAAUGAUAUAAGCUUGGAAAAACUCUAAAAAAUG